CACCUCCAUUUCACAAACUGCAUCGCAAUGCAUUGAACUGCAGCAGAGAGAAUCAACCUCAGGAAAACACCAAAGGGCGUCGAUCCGAGGAUGGAGACGAGAAGUUUCGACGAAGCCUGCCAAGAUUGAUUGAGAGGGAGGAAGGAUAAGACAAGAUCGGGCCGGUUCGGAGAUAGACUCCAGGCAAAACCCGCCGGUUGGAAGUAAACGGAAAGGAGAAAACCGAGAAAAGCUGGAAAUUAAAGACUCCCCCAACUCUCAGGCCAAGAUCCAAAUCAAAAAGACCAAGAUCGAGCAAGAGGGGGAGGAGAAGGAAAACUAUACUGAUGGGUUUUCUAGAGAGAAGGCAGAGGAAAAGUCCCUAGAGAGAGAAAGCGGUAUAAAUAGCUACCUAGAACUUGAAAAGCUAAUUUCUAAUGUUGGCCACGGAUCUGGAUUUAGUUGGUAAUUUUCAAUUUAUUUGAAUGAAUUCGAGUCAAUUUGUCAAGUCCAAUUGAGGAAUCAAGUAACUGAGACCUAUUUACUUAUUAGGAUUUGGAUGGGUAAGUGUCUUUGGACAUUAUUGUUGAUGCAAAGGAUUGCAUAUUGCAUCGCUCUGUGUCGGUGUGCAUUAGUUUUGUCUGUGGUUAACCAAACAAAUGCCUUACCAUAUGCAGUUAUGCACAUUAACCCUGAGCUCCUGGAGGCACUGCAUCUGAUAUGUGCCAUGCUGCUGGAAGUGCCCCCCAACAUGGCAGCUAACAUCUUUGAUGCAAAGCGCAGAGUGAUUAGUAAGACAUUCAGGGCUUUUGUCAAUGGCAAAUGCUGGUCCAGACACCAAUGGUUCACAAUUCUUCAUCACCACUGUGACAACUAGUUGGUAACAAGAGCAUCAAAGAUGUCAAGAUCCAAUAUAAAUGUAGGUCAAUUCAGAACUGGAGUUUAGUUGUUUUGGGGGAGAGAAUGCAAUACUUACUGCGUUUUGGGUGUUGUUGAUAUAUUGUUGGACAUUUGAACUUUAAGAGUUCAAUGGAAAAAAUAUAAGGAUUGUGUGAUUACUAUUCUAUUGUAUUAUUUAGGGUUUUUAUCACGUCAAAACUUUAUUGCACCGGACAGAAUGAUACCCAAUUUUCAAAAGUGAUUAAAGAGAUACUUAGACUUAUAAAAA